rnacentral:lncRNA from 1 species
UGGAACAAGGAAGAAGAAUUGUCCUCCUUUAAUCUGAAACGUGGUAACACUAGGCAUUCAUCCUUAAAAACUGCUUCCACAGUUUUCUCAUUUUUUGCUUCAUACAAAACAAGUGUGCACAAAUUGAAAUUAUCCUCAGGAUGAAAUGCACUGCACGUACACAGGUAGUGAGUGAUUUAACAUAUACUCUUCUCAUUUACCUGCAUCACUGUGGAAAUCAGACAACAUUGUGGCAAGUUCCUAGCUGAAGUCUGAAGCGAUCACAUUACAGAAUGCUGUGAGCUUGGAAUUUAAGGACAAAAAAUACAGCAAAAUAGCUCUGAGAAUUGCACUAACUGUGUGUUGCACAAGGAGAAAAUUUAAUUAGAUGCAAAUCAUGUGAGAAUGGACUGUUUGAAACCGUUGAAUACCAGAGUUUGUAAUUCAUUGGCAAACAUUUGCGUAUGUUUUUUUUGAAUGUUAUGACAAAUGAAAUGUAUUUUUCAGUAAAAGACACAUUGCAAACAAGCAUAAACUGUUUGACCUUGUUUUUGUGACAUUGAAUGCUUUUG